rnacentral:rRNA from 1 species
AGUGAACGCUGGCGGUAGGCCUAACACAUGCAAGUCGAACGGCAGCACAGUAAGAGCUUGCUCUUACGGGUGGCGAGUGGCGGACGGGUGAGGAAUACAUCGGAAUCUACUUUUUCGUGGGGGAUAACGUAGGGAAACUUACGCUAAUACCGCAUACGACCUACGGGUGAAAGCAGGGGAUCUUCGGACCUUGCGCGAUUGAAUGAGCCGAUGUCGGAUUAGCUAGUUGGCGGGGUAAAGGCCCACCAAGGCGACGAUCCGUAGCUGGUCUGAGAGGAUGAUCGGCCACACUGGAACUGAGACACGGUCCAGACGCCUACGGGAGGCAGCAGUGGGGAAUAUUGGACAAUGGGCGCAAGCCUGAUCCAGCCAUACCGCGUGGGUGAAGAAGGCCUUCGGGUUGUAAAGCCCUUUUGUUGGGAAAGAAAAGCAGCAGGUUAAUACCCCGCUGUUCUGACGGUACCCAAAGAAUAAGCACCGGCUAACUUCGUG